CAUGCGCGCAGCCUGAUGCAGCCAUGCCGCGUGAGUGAUGAAGGCCUUAGGGUUGUAAAGCUCUUUUACCAGGGAUGAUACUGACGGUGCCUGGAGAAAACCCCGGCUAACUCCGUGCCAGCAGCCGCGGUAAUACGGAGGGAGCUAGCG
rnacentral:rRNA from 1 species